rnacentral:rRNA from 1 species
UAAGGAAUAUUGGUCAAUGGACGCAAGUCUGAACCAGCCAUGCCGCGUGAAGGAUGAAGGUCCUCUGGAUUGUAAACUUCUUUUAUCUGGGACGAAAACGGGAUUUUUAUCUCAAUUGACGGUACCAGAGGAAUAAGCACCGGCUAACUCCGUGCCAGCAGCCGCGGUAAUACGGAGGGUGCAAGCGUUAUCCGGAUUUACUGGGUUUAAAGGGUGCGUAGGCGGGCAUGUAAGUCAGUGGUGAAAUACCGGAGCUUAACUUCGGAACCGCCAUUGAUACUAUAUGUCUUGACUAUUGUGGAGGUAAGCGGAAUAUGUCAUGUAGCGGUGAAAUGCAUAGAUAUGACAUAGAACACCGAUUGCGGAGGCAGCUUGCUACGCAAAUAUUGACGCUGAGGCACGAAAGCGUGGGGAUCAAACA